UAGGGGCAAUAAAACACCACCACACCCCUGUUUAUCUUCUUCAUUUGCCGGUAAACAUAAAGAGAGGAACGCCGAUGAAAUCCACCGCCCCGCCGCCGUCUGUGUUCUUUCGUUACGCCGUCGGCCAGUGGCGAUGGUCUCUGUUUUCAGAGGACGAUGGAAUGCCGAUUAACACAGAUCCGCCGCCCGCCGCCACCUUUGUCUGUUCCGGCCGUCGGUUAGUGAUGAAGGUCUCUGGUUCAGACGACGAUGGAUGGUGGCGAUGGUGGCCGAUCUGUGUAUCGUUGUCACGUUUCCGAAUAACAAGAUACAACUGCUCCCCCGGCGAUGGUCAUAGUCGCAUUCAGUAGUGAAUGGUACAACAAUUUCACUAUGCACGGUCGCAUUCAGCAGCUCCCCCGGUGCUAUGAGUUCUCAUCCGCCGUCACCUAGGAGUUGAACCACCGCCUGGUUAUGAACAUAGGUCGAGUUCUGCCGGUUGGUACUCAUAUGCCCAAUGUUGAGCAGAACUUCAGGCUGAACUGAAUUGGCUUCUUUUGGCGUUGGUGAAAAACGUUCCAAAAGAAGGAUGUGUAGAGAGAAAGAGAGAGCGUUGAGAGAGAGAGAGAGAGAGAGGCUGCUGACGAUGGUUCGAUCGGUGUUACAACCUGCACGUCGGUGGUUGCACGUUCUGAUUCAUAGUCACAUAAAUCGCUCAGAGUCCCGCGAAUUCCGUAUUGGUUUGUUUUGUACCAAAUCGCUUCUGGUACUCGACUUCAUUAUAAUGGUAUGUUGUUCCAAUUCGAUUUUGCAAUCGAUUCGAUGAUGGUGGGUUCUGUGAUUUGGAUCGUUUAUCAAGGCGAUCCGCUACACUAUGAUACGCGACUGGUACGUUCUGAUCAAAUCAUAAUUGACGUCUAAAAUAGGGGUAGGGGCACUAUUGUAGGAAAGUUUGUUAUUUGUGGAAAGAAUCAUCGACCGAAUUGGGCUAGGAUAUGGCGGAAAUCAACAGGCGGGAAUUCGACGUCUAGAUUCAGAUUUUAAAACUUUAUGUUUAUGUUUUUCUAUUUGCUAAUAUGAAUAUAGGAUUUUAAUCAUUUGGAUUUAUGAAAUUAGUCAUUUUUGUUUUAAUUUGUGUUUACCAAACCGGUCGGAAUGGUACACCAUACUGAAUCGCACGGGGUCGUACCGAAAUGAACUUACCCCCUCCGAACCGAAUUCGUCCCAACUAGCGAAUUACGAACCCGAACCAGAGCAUACCGCGAAUUAGGUGACUAUGUUCUGAUUUCUAAAGGAUGUGGCGACGCCGCGGCAGUAAGGUUUGACCACUUAUGUAACUAUGAUUGGUUAUUCUUUUACAGAUUCUUGCUUUUAUUAGAGGGUUGGACGUCAUUGGCUUUCAGCAUGGGGAUUAUGGUUUCGGCUAGGGAUUACAUUUCAGUUAAGAGGACAUGCAUCUUAAUCCAGUUGUUAUUUUCAUGGAGUUGGUAAGUUCCGACCUUCUGAUGUCUGCUUUCUUUCGGUUACAUGUAGAGUUCCCGGCGAAGCUCAGAGAACCCUUCUUAUCUGCUACAGUUCGCAUAACCGACUCUUUGCUCUGUUCUCAGUAUUAACCAUAUAUAAUUGGUGUUCAAUGUGGCAGAUGUUGAAGAUGUACAGCUUCUGUGAUGACAAAUGGCAAGAGCAAUGCAAAUUCAUUUGAGGGAGUUUAUCUUGAGGCAAAAUUGCAGCUUGACAAUGAGGAACAUGAGUUGGAGAUAACUAUCUUGGUGCCGGUACUGUAUGAAUAUCCUAAUGGUGCGAACCAAUACCAACCAAAUUCACUUUGUUUACGACUGAAUUCAAUGUGGUUACUAAUGAUUUGGAACAGGUACAGGUACUGUUUAUAGUGUUUUGAACUUUGAAUUGUAUCUCAUAAGUUGAUUUUGGAAUAUUAGUUAUAGUUUCAGAGAAUAUAAUUUGUUUUGUGUUAGUUUGUCACAAUUCUAUUUAUUCAUUUUUUCUCUAUCGAUUGUUAUAACGAGUGUAUGUAUCAUAACAAAAAGAAUCGAUACUAAUCGACUUCCCGCGU